rnacentral:rRNA from 1 species
CCUACGGGAGGCAGCAGUGGGGAAUUUUGGACAAUGGGCGCAAGCCUGAUCCAGCCAUGCCGCGUGCGGGAAGAAGGCCUUCGGGUUGUAAACCGCUUUUGUCAGGGAAGAAAUCCUUUGAGCUAACACCUCGGGGGGAUGACGGUACCUGAAGAAUAAGCACCGGCUAACUACGUGCCAGCAGCCGCGGUAAUACGUAGGGUGCGAGCGUUAAUCGGAAUUACUGGGCGUAAAGCGUGCGCAGGCGGUCUUGCAAGACAGGUGUGAAAUCCCCGGGCUUAACCUGGGAACUGCACUUGUGACUGCAAGGCUGGAGUACGGCAGAGGGGGAUGGAAUUCCGCGUGUAGCAGUGAAAUGCGUAGAUAUGCGGAGGAACACCGAUGGCGAAGGCAAUCCCCUGGGCCUGUACUGACGCUCAUGCACGAAAGCGUGGGGAGCAAACAGGAUUAGAUACCCUGGUAGUCCACGCCCUAAACGAUGUCAACUGGUUGUUGGACGGCUUGCUGUUCAGUACGAAGCUAACGCGUGAAGUUGACCGCCUGGGGAGUACGGCCGCGAAGGUUGAAACGUCAAAGGAAUUGACGGCUUGNGAGNGCGAGCGACGACGAGGAGAGG